CCUACGGGAGGCUGCAGUCGAGAAUCAUUCACAAUGGGGGAAACCCUGAUGGUGCGACGCCGCGUGGGGGAAUGAAGGUCUUCGGAUUGUAAACCCCUGUCAUGUGGAAGCAAAUUAAAAAGAUAGUACCACAAGAGGAAGAGACGGCUAACUCUGUGCCAGCAGCCGCGGUAAUACAGUGGUCUCAAGCGUUGUUCGGAAUCACUGGGCGUAAAGCGUGCGUAGGCUGUUUCGUAAGUCGUGUGUGAAAGGCGCGGGCUCAACCCGCGGACGGCACAUGAUACUGCGAGAUUAGAGUAAGGGAGGGGGAACCGGAAGUCUCGGUGUAGCAGUGAAAUGCGUAGAUAUCGAGAGGAACACUCGUGGCGAAGGCGGGUUCCUGGACAUUAACUGACGCUGAGGCACGAAGGCCAGGGGAGCGAAAGGGAUUAGAUACCCUUGUAGUC
rnacentral:rRNA from 1 species